GCCAAUGGAACAUUUGGUGUCUCUUCGUUUGCAAGGGACAGCUGUCAAAAUGCUUCCUUCGUCUAUUGGAAAUCUAAUUACUCUUCAAACUUUAGACCUUAGUGGCUGCAAGCACCUUGUGAGUCUACCAACCAACAUUUGUAGGUUGAAAAAUCUGAAGGAACUCAAUCUCUAUGGCUGCUUUGAACUUGAAAAAUUCCCAGAGAUCUUGGAGCCAAUGGAACAUUUGGUGUCUCUUCGUUUGCAAGGGACAGCUGUCAAAAUGCUUCCUUCGUCUAUUGGAAAUCUAAUUACUCUUCAAACUUUAGACCUUAGUGGCUGCAAGCACCUUGUGAGUCUACCAACCAACAUUUGUAAGUUGAAAAAUCUGAAGGAACUCAAUCUCUAUGGCUGCUCUGAACUUGAAAAAUUCCCAAAGAUCUUGGAGCCAAUGGAACAUUUGGUGUCUCUUCGUUUGCAAGGGACAGCUGUCAAAAUGCUUCCUUCGUCUAUUGGAAAUCUAAUUAGUCUUCCAACUUUAGACCUUAGUGGCUGCAAGCACCUUGUGAGUCUACCAACCAACAUUUGUAAGUUGAAAAAUCUGAAGCAACUCAAUCUCUCUGGCUGCUUUGAACUUGAAAACUUCCCAGAGAUCUUGGAGCCAAUGGAACAUUUGGUGUCUCUUUGUUUGCAAGGGACAGCUGUCAAAAUGCUUCCUUCGUCUAUUGGAAAUCUAAUUAGUCUUCAAACUUUAGACCUUUGUGGCUGCAAGCACCUUGUGAAUCUACCAACCAACAUUUGUAAGUUGAAAUAUCUGGAGGAACUCAAUCUCUCUGGCUGCUCUGAACUUGAAAACUUCCCAGAGAUCUUGGAGCCAAUGGAACAUUUGGUGUCUCUUAGUUUGCAAGGGGCAGCUGUCAAAAUGCUUCCUUCGUCUAUUGGAAAUCUAAUUAGUCUUCAAACUUUAGACCUUCGUGGCUGCAAGCACCUUGUGAGUCUACCAACCAACAUUUGUAAGUUGAAAUAUCUGGAGGAACUCAAUCUCUCUGGCUGCUCUGAACUUGAAAACUUCCCAGAGAUCAUAAAGCCAAUGGAACAUUUGAAGUACUUAAAUUUAAGUGGAACAACGGUUA
rnacentral:lncRNA from 1 species